rnacentral:misc_RNA from 1 species
UUUCCGUAGGUGAACCUGCGGAAGGAUCAUUAUUGUAUUACAAAGCUCCGAGCGCUGUCUCUAACCCCAUAGGUGUUGCCCCCCCGACUGCCCUCACACACAUCCAUCCCACCCCUAUAUACACCCCCGCGGCGGCCACGCAUCUGUGUUUUUCGGUGGAGUGGCUUACAACUUCACACAACGUUUCUAUUCAUUCUGGCAUGUAUUAUUAGUUUUUGCGAUCACGCAAUCAAUCGAACUAUCACCAACCGAUCACUUGGCUCUCGCAUCGCUGCAGAA